AAGCGGGAAGAGCUCAGACUGAAAACCUUCGGGGAUGUAGUCUGGAGAUGGGAUAUCGAAUCUCAGGAAGCCGAUAAAGUGGUCUGGAACGACACGCCGUGGAGGGUGACAGCCCCGUUCGUAUCGGUGGAAAGAGAAAGUAGAUACCUAUCAACGAGUCGAGUUGUUUGGGAUUGCAGCUCAAAGCGGGUGGUAAAUUCCAUCUAAAGCUAAAUAUGGAUAGGAGACCGAUAGCAAACAAGUACCGUGAGGGAAAGAUGAAAAGCACUUUGAAAAGAGAGUGAAAUAGUACCUGAAAUUGCUGAAAAGGAACCGCUGGGAAGCAGUGUGCGGGCCGUAGAGUCUCUCUACGGCAUGCAGGUGAGGCUUGCUUCGAUGGUGAGGGAAAAGGCGUGCUUGCACUGUCCUACCAAUCCUCGGAGUGACUCUCACGAAAUGCUUCUCAUCAACCCGUCUUGAAACACGGACCAAGGAGUCUAACAUGUGUGCAAGUGUUCGGGAGUCAAGUCCCAAGCGCGAAAUUAACGUAAAGGUGGGUUUCGGCCCGCUGAGGUAGGAAGCUUCGGCUGCACUAUCGACCGACCAUGAUCCUUCGAGUGAAAGGUUUGAGUGUGAGCAUACAUGUUGGGACCCGAAAGAUGGUGAACUAUGCUUGAGUAGGACGAAGCCAGGGGAAACUCUGGUGGAGGUCCGUAGCGAUUCUAACGUGCAAAUUGAUCGUCGAACUUGAGUAUAGGGGCGAAAGACUAAUCGAACCAUCUAGUAGCUGGUUCCUCCCGAAAUUUCCCUUAGGAUAGCUGCAACCGAACAGUUUUAUCAGGUAAAGCGAAUGAUUAGAGGCCUCAGGGGUGAAAUGCUCUUGACCUAUUCUCAAACUUUAAAUGGGUAAGAGCCCCGAGUUGCUUAAUUGAACUCGGCGGUCGAAUGACGGUUGCUAGUGGGCCAAUCUGGGUAAGCUAGAUUGGCGAUGCGGGAUGCUCCGAACGUUAAGUUAAAGUGCCAAAGUAUCCGCUAACCUAGAUCCCACAAAAGGUGUUGGUUC
rnacentral:rRNA from 1 species